rnacentral:rRNA from 1 species
AGCGAACGCUGGCGGCAGGCCUAACACAUGCAAGUCGAACGAAGUCUUCGGACUUAGUGGCGGACGGGUGAGUAACACGUGGGAACGUGCCUUUAGGUUCGGCAUAACUCAGGGAAACUUGUGCUAAUACCGAAUGUGACCUCCGGGGGGAAGAUUUAUCGCCUUUAGAGCGGCCUGCGGCUGAUUAGCUAGUUGGUGAGGUAAAGGGUCACCAAGGCUACGAUCAGUAGCUGGUCUGAGAGGAUGACCAGCCACAGUGGGACUGAGACACGGCCCAAACUCCUACGGGAGGCAGCAGUGGGGAAUCUUGCGCAAUGGACGAAAGACUGACGCAGCCAUGCCGCGUGGAUGAUGAAGGUCUUAGGAUUGUAAAAUCCUUUCACCGGUUAAGAAAAUGACGUUAGCCGGAGAAGAAGCCCCGGCUAACUUCGUGCCAGCCGCCGCCGUAAGAC